CUCUUAUCAAGAGUGGCAGAGGGACCGGCCCGAUGAAGCCACGACAACCUACCGACGCAUCGGCAAGGUGCCAAGUCCGGGCAGGUCCUCCUGCACGAUAAGGG
rnacentral:ncRNA from 2 species